AUUGAACGCUGGCGGCAUGCUUUACACAUGCAAGUCGAACGGUAACAGGCCGCAAGGUGCUGACGAGUGGCGAACGGGUGAGUAAUGCAUCGGAACGUGCCCAGUCGUGGGGGAUAACUACUCGAAAGAGUAGCUAAUACCGCAUACGAUCUAUGGAUGAAAGCGGGGGACCGUAAGGCCUCGCGCGAUUGGAGCGGCCGAUGUCGGAUUAGGUAGUUGGUGGGGUAAAGGCUCACCAAGCCAACGAUCUGUAGCUGGUCUGAGAGGACGACCAGCCACACUGGAACUGAGACACGGCCCAGACUCCUACGGGAGGCAGCAGUGGGGAAUUUUGGACAAUGGGCGCAAGCCUGAUCCAGCAAUGCCGCGUGCAGGAAGAAGGCCUUCGGGUUGUAAACUGCUUUUGUACGGAACGAAACGGCUCUGGUUAAUACCCGGGGCUAAUGACGGUACCGUAAGAAUAAGCACCGGCUAACUACGUG
rnacentral:rRNA from 1 species